rnacentral:misc_RNA from 1 species
UAUUCUCAAAUCCCCUUGCUUUUGUGAGGCUUGGAUUUGGAUUUGGAGGUUUGCGGGCUGACUUUGUUGUUCCGCUCCUCUUGAAUGUAUUAGCUGGAACCUUUUGCUAGACCGGCUUCGGUGUGAUAAUUAUCUGCGCCGUGGUUGUGAAGGCGACUUUGUUGAGGAUCCGCUUCCAAUUGUCUUACUGGACUAUUCUGAC